AUACGGAGGAUCCGAGCGUUAUCCGGAUUUAUUGGGUUUAAAGGGUGCGCAGGCGGCCAUUUAAGUCAGCGGUUAAAUCGUGGGGCUCAACCCCAUUCUGCCGUUGAUACUGGGUGGCUUGAUUGCGGUCGAGGUUGGCGGAAUUCGUUGUGUAGCGGUGAAAUGCAUAGAUAUGACGAGGAACACCGAUUGCGUAGGCAGCUGACCAGACCGCAAAUGACGCUCAUGCACGAAAGUGCGGGGAUCGAACAGGAUUAGAUACCCUGGUAGUCCGCACAGUAAACGAUGAAUACUUGUUUUCGGCGAUAUAAUGUCGGAGGCAAAGCGAAAGCGAUAAGUAUUCCACCUGGGGAGUACGCCGGCAACGGUGAAACUCAAAGGAAUUGGCGGGG
rnacentral:rRNA from 1 species